rnacentral:misc_RNA from 1 species
CAACCCUCAAGCCUGGCUUGGUGAUGGGGCACUGCCUUUGUAACAGAGGGCAGGCCCUGAAAUCUAGUGGCGAGCUCGCUAGGACCCCGAGCGUAGUAGUUUAUAUCUCGUUCUGGAAGGCCCUGGCGGUGCCCUGCCGUUAAACCCCCAACUUCUGAAA